GGAGCUCCGGUUCUCUUUGUUAAGAAGAAAGACGGAUCUUUUAGGAUGUGCAUUGUGUUGGGUUUUGAGCAAUCUAACACUUCCUAAGUGUGCAUGCAACCCUAAUAAACCUUGGAUCUAUGUUUGUCUAAAUACAUGCAAAAUAAUAAUUUUUCCAAGGUUCAUAACCUAUCUAACAUGGCAUGGGGUACUUUUAAACAUAAAAGAAUUAGAUGAGAUUACAUACCUUUUUGAUGAUGAGUUUGAUUCCUAAGGAGUUUGAUGGCCAAGCACCAAUAGUGUGAAUGCCUCAAAUGGAAUCACAAAGCGCCAUUUUAGAUAAGUGAUCAUAUAAUCCUCUGUUUUCAUGAUAUCAGCCGGACAAAUACAUGGAACAACGUCGUACUUAUUGUCUAGCAGUUUGUUUCCCGAUUUUAGAUUUGUUUGACAAAGAACUUAAUCAAACACAUCAAUUUAGUUCUGACCGGCCGGUACAUAGGUCACAACAAAAUCAUCGAGGGGCCCAGAUAUCGCUUCUAUUUCUAGAAGGAACAGAUAAACUUCGACUCAUAUGCUUGUUCUACUACUUGUUGAAUUGUACACAAAGGCACGUUUUAUAACAUCAAGUUACUGAUGCGUUUACGUGCAAUCAAUGCACAACCAACUCAUAGGUAACAACUCAUAUCUCUAGGUUUGAAGAUUUAUAUGAUAUUACCGUCUCACGAUCACUCGAGAUAAAUUCCAUGAAGUGAUACAAGUGAGCGUGGGUUUAUUCCAAUACUCAUAACUUAUGAGCACUCAUGAAUGUUGUAGCAACCAUUGCUAUGACUAAACCCAUUUAGCCAUCUACAAACUCGAUUCAUGACAGUCUUGAUUCAUACCUACUUCCAACAUAUGAACGACUGUGGAGUGUUUAAAUAACUUAGUCAUUCGGAAAGAAUAACCUAGCUAUUUUGGAAGUCAAAACAUGCAAAGUGAAACACAAUAAUAAUCGAAUCCAAUAUGGUCUCAGAACCCUUUUGAAUAUAAAUAGAACCACCUUUUAUUUAUCACCAUAUUGAUUACACAUUAUUCAUUGUAUAAUGUUUCAAACAAUCAACUUAAGACUUGAAUAAAAACAACAGUCGUCCCAUGCUCCUAGCAUGUACACUUUGUUUUUCUAAACAAUAGUUAUGCCAUACUCCAAGUAUGCACACUAUGUUUGUCUAUGAUCCUUACAUUGUGAUGUAGAUCAAUUGAACAUGAUUCCAAUGAUACUCAUUUCACAAUCCCAAAUCCUUAUUGUAAAUGUGAGAAUCCCCGAUUCCUAUCAUUUACCAAAAAAUCUGUUAGAUUUUAAACUUUUAUGCAAUGUUCCUCUUGUAAUGAUUAUGCACAAAGUCACCAAAACCUUGUCACCAGUCAUUACAGAGUAUUCCAAAGAAGGUCAACUUCUAUGGAACGGAAGUCUCAUAUUCAAAGUACAUUGCUUUGAACAUCCUUCUUGCAUUAAGGUUUUCUAAUCUUACAUAGAUUGAAUAACUUCCACCUAUGGAGACAUUUCCAUAGUCCCAUUUUGACUAUCACUUCCGAACAAGAGUUACUUCUUUUCAGAAUAUGUCAAUAUGGUCCUUUCCGACAACUUACAUCAUACUUCCAACUUUCCCUGAGCAACCAAUCUUUGGCGAACCUCAGAUUGUCCUCGACAAUUGCUUAAUCACUUUAGUCAUAUCCAGUUCUAGACUUUUCCCUUCUCAAUGCCUUAAGCAUUUGGAAAAUUUAGAAAAGAUGAAUAUUAUAGCACAUGCAAUCGAUCCUAUAUCCGAAGCAUAUGGGACACGAUUCAUGAUGUUUGACAUAAAGACAUGAUACUAGACCAGUCUUUUGCUACAAUAUUUUUUAUUUGCCAUGUUUUCAAAAUUUAACUAUGAAGAGGGAUGCCGUAAUCAUAAUCGAAUUUUGAAAACGCAAUAUAUAUAGAAUUUCUUCAAGUUGAACCAUUCCAACAUAAAAUUCAUAUAUAUAUUCUUGACUAAAGAUGAUUAAAAUCUCAAUCUAAGCUUUAGAAUUGAAAUGAAGUAUAAUUUCCUCUCCCUUAAUUAUAGCAAAACAACUUUUCAACCCCUGCAACUUCACGAAUUGAAACUUUGUUUUCUAUAAUUAACAUUGCUAACUUGCAACACUAAACGUAAUAAUCAUGCUCCCACUAACAUGAUGAUUAUCAGCAUAACACUUAUGCUCCCACUAGCUCUGACAUAUUUCCAGAAAUCUGCUGGACUUCUGAAAUUUAGAUUCAUACACCCUUUCUUAGAUAGCUCACAUGUGUGUCUAAACAAUUUUCAGAACUAUGAAAAGGGAUGCCGUAAUCAUAGUCUCAAUUGCUUAGGCAUUUGCCAUUUCUCACAAGUCCAUGUUAGUGUGCCGGUUAACCACACGCGCUCCACUAAUGACUUUUGAAAAUGCAAAUAACACAAUUGAUAUCUACGUAAAAUCUACUUAGUGAAAGCGUUUCCUCACCAUCAUUUUCAUGAAUCGGAGAGAAACCUUAUGACACUUAGAUUUUAUAGUGUAUGAGUUCCUAUCCAUGUGAAUUUGUCAAAACCAUAAUCACAAGAUAAGGUUAGUGACAAAUUCAGCCUUACAUGGAUUAAACUUGUUCAAUCUUAGUUUCUUGUCACCUUGGUAGCACAAGGCCCACCAAUGCUUCCAAGUUGAACUCUGAUAACUCACAUGCAAAUUCAACUUAUUUGAAGUAGGUACAGAAAUAAGAAUUAUGUCAACACGAUAGGUUGCAAACCUUAAGUCGUGUGCUAGUGAUAAAUUACAGGUUUUACUCUUGAUUAAAUCUUGAAACUCUUUCAGGAUCUUUAAGGCUCCCACUGUCCCCUUGACAUAUAAGUUUCCCCAGUCAAGAACCAUUCCUUGACAAAACAAAUAUUCAAGGGAUAGUGCGGAUUCUUAUCAAGACUAACACUUCACACAAUUGGUCUUAGUUGGUCUUUGUCUCAUCCAAGACAUCACAACUUACCAAUCUCAAAUGUACAAGAGUAGAAAACAUUUUACUCUUACAUUUGACUAGUGUUAAUAAAUCUUCCUUUAUGUCACUCAAAGUUACAAUCUUGGAGUAUGACUCUAAGAAUUGUUUUGGAACGAAGUAUGACUCAUCUUCUUGAUUUUAACCAAUCCAACAAUUCAUGACCUCUCUUCUUAGCCAUAACAAUGCACUAAGACGUCCUUAGAGUAUGAAUUUGUGAUAUGGUUUCAUAAUCAUUAAGAUGAUCAUGAAAUACGAUACUAAAGUACUCUCCCAUCCUUUCAGAUUUGAGAAACUUUUAUCUUUCUGCCUAAUUUGAUUCUUCUCAUUUGUUUUGUCAUACAUUGUAACCUUUCCAAUGUUACAGAAUUAUACUUAACCUCAUAAGUAUAAUCAUAUUUACUAAUCUUUAGUAAAUCAUGACAAAUCAAUCUUUGUGGUGGACCUUGACCAGCGCACACCCAGUGUACCUAAUUCCUUAGUCCUUCAAUUGACUCACAUAUACAUGUGAUCAAAGAAUUAGUCUUAAUUUUCAAAGAUGAAAAUUCUCAUUCAUCAUACAAUACAACUUGUAUGAUUCCAAGUUUCUGUCCAAUUGAAACUUGGGUGAUGAAAAACUUUCUUCAUUUGGUAAAUUCAGACACUACCACAAAUGAAAGAAUCAAAUCCACUUUCCAAUAUUGCUAUUACUGGAAACAUAUAAGCAACAAUUUUCCACAGAUGCCAUUGUAAGGAUAUUUUUAAAAUAAAUAAAAUUAAAACCCUUUUUUUUUUUUUUUUUAAAACUUUGCGGAAAAACUUAUCCUUACAAUCCACAUGAAAACCUUGUUGUUAUCUAUUCAUAAGCAAUAUAUUAUAACUCUUAAGCAACAGCUCAAAAUUCUGAUUACCGAACCAUGCGAUCGAAACCCACCUUCGCAAUCAGAAUCAACAUAUACUUACUUUAAGCUUCCUAUCUUUUCUUUGAUUCUUAAAAACAUCAGCAUGUGACCCAUUCACAUUAUGUAAUAAGAAUCUCCAAAUAGGAACUUAAUAGAGUUAGACAGUGGACUUUACCCGAAGUAGAGUCAAACCUCUUGACUUGAUCAACCUUAUGACCUUUCAGGUGAAUAGGGCAGCUUCGCAACCAAUGCCCCUUCCUUUGGCAACAAAACACAUGGACCCUUUGGUAAUGGCACAUGAGACUAUCUCAGACUUAGCCUUUCUCUUUACCAUUUGGUCAACCGAGUUGACUAUGGCCGAUCCCUUUCCAUUGGGAAGAGAAAUCCUUUUCUAGAUAUCCAAUGCUACCAUUGUCAAUGUCCAUUUAAGACUUGGGAAGUUGUUCUUUUAAUCAAAUUUGCUUUACUGGUGUUCCAAAUCAUUGCUGAUUCCACAACACCAAGCAAAUAGAUAACAUCAUUAAGGGUCAUGUCAUAGUCUGUCUCAUAGUAGUCCCAAAGAGACUCACUAUGUUACUAAGAAAGUGAUUGAACAUCCAACUUUCACGAGACUUUGACACCCAACUCUCCCGGCUUGUCAAUAUGUGACUUUAUCUCCAAGAUGUGAGCACACAUAGACUAUGCUUGCCAAUAGGGAUUGAGUGACUUUAAACUUUUCAAGAACUUGUGGGUGAGGGAGAAUAAUUGGAGGAGGUGGAGGAAGUGAAGCAUGAUGUUGAGGGACACCAUCUUCAAGAGAUUUGGGAAGAUCAUAGUUGUCUGAACCAGACAUCUAUAAUGGGAGAAAAUCAAGUUAGUUGAUUCAAAGUCCUUAAUAUAACACCCAAUAUGAAAUAUUAAGGCUAGGACCCAACACAAUAUUUUAUAAUUUGGAAGAGGGAUGCCGUAAUCCAAGCUAUAAAAUAUUUGAAGGUAGGCGAAUGACGAUUCACCAAUUUCCACCAUGAAAAACGAAAUAAUUUAUUAGGUUUUAAUUGGAUUUGAAAUUCCUAGAUCUUUUGAGAUUCAUUGAACUUUUCAAUGGCAUGUUUCAAUCUCGAGUGUGCCCUCUCAAAUUUUGUGACUGGGAUGCCGAGGAUCACAAAACAAGGUGUGAAUAACCAUACCAAUUCACUUGGUACCCUUAAUAUUAUCACCUAAUCAAUGUGCCGGUUAACCACACACGCUCCAUUGAUCUAUGACAAACAUUAAGUCACCCUUCGUGAUCCUUACUAGUCCAAGUUAGUGUGCCGGUUAACCACACACGCUCCACCAACGACUUGGUAAGGUACAAAGUGUGAAUUCCAUGGGCUAGCACCAAAUUCACAUUUUUCCUAAAGUAACUAAGAUUGGGAAUUAAAUAAAAAAUUUUUAGUUACUUUAUAAUAAUCAUUAUACUUUUAAUGAGAAUUUAAAGUCAUUGUCCUACCCGUUCGGCUAACGACCCUCCACCGAUCAAGCAAGCGGUGGGUGAGAGUGGACACCCAUUAAGUCGCCAUUUUAUAGGCAACAACCUUAUACCCACCUUAUAGACCGGCUUCGUGAAUGAGGCCUACUAACGGUAAAACGACUUGUUCUUAUACAUAUAUAUAAUAAUUAACCAUUAAUGUUAUAAAUAGUAUAAGUGUUGAAUUUUAACUUUUAAAACUCUAAGUGUUGGAAUUAAAGUUUAUUAAAGUGUGUGAAACUUUUCAAAUUCCAAAACUUGAGGGCAAGUUUUGUAACUAUCCAAAACUUUUCAUUUCAUAACUUAUGAAUUAAAGGUUCAUAAAAAUGAAGACUCUUCAUUUUCAUGUAACUUAUGUGUUUAAAUGUGUGUGUUAAAGAAAAGUGACCUUUGGAUAUCCAUAACUUGAGGACAAAUUAUGGACUCCAUUAAAACACAUAAAUGAUCAAGAAUUAAUUCUAAACAAUUCAGCAAAUAAUUCCUAUCAUCUUCUAAAUUCAUAAGAACAUGAACAUGAUCAUCAAAAUUUCAAGAAUUAUAUGAACACAUAAAAAUCAUGGAAUUUUGAUAUAUGCUAUUGUAAAUGGAUUAGAACAACCAUUACACCAACUAAAACAAGUUUUAAAACACCAAAACAGUUUAGGGUAAUGUUUCUAGUCCAUUUCCAGCAGCAAAAGUCGAAAUUCUGCAUUCUGAUCAUUCUACUCGCCGAGUGCACGAACCUACUCGCCGAGUAGGAUGAAUUUUGCCUUGAACUCGGCGAGUCCCCCCAUGGACUCGGCGAGUCCAUCAGCCAGACAGCAACAAUUUCAACUUUUUUCACUAUUUUGCAUCAAGUAUCAAACAAGCAAGCCUAGGCUCUGAUACCACUGUUGGGUUUUGAGCAAUCUAACACUUCCUAAGUGUGCAUGCAACCCUAAUAAACCUUGGAUCUAUGUUUGUCUAAAUACAUGCAAAAUAAUAAUUUUUCCAAGGUUCAUAACCUAUCUAACAUGGCAUGGGGUACUUUUAAACAUAAAAGAAUUAGAUGAGAUUACAUACCUUUUUGAUGAUGAGUUUGAUUCCUAAGGAGUUUGAGGGCCAAGCACCAAUAGUGUGAAUGCCUCAAAUGGAAUCACAAAUCACCACAAACUCUUGGAAAACUUUGAGAGAGUGUAUACACACUUAUAAAAUCGGCCACACACAAA
rnacentral:lncRNA from 1 species